GAUUGUUUGGGCAGUGAAGAUAGAUUGCUCAAUUGCUCCUACGAUUCUUACACCGGAGAUUGUGGACAUCAACAUGAUAUUGGUGUCUAUUGUUCCUUUGAAUGUCCAAAAUCAGGCACUUUGCGUCUUCUUGAAGGUUCAAAUAAAAAUGAAGGACGACUCGAGGUGUAUAUCCAAGAUACAUGGGGAACUGUUUGUGUCAAUAAUUUUGACACUAUUGAUGCUACAAUAGCAUGUCAACAACUUGGAUAUUGUUCUGGAAACGCUGUGCUGCCAAAUUUGGUAAAUGACGGAACUGGUACUAUCUGGUUGGCUGGCCUUCUUUGUUCUGGUAUUGAA